AACGCGAAGAACCUUACCUACCCUUGACAUCCAAUGAAUUUUCCAGAGAUGGAGAAGUGCCGCAAGGAACAUUGAGACAGGUGCUGCAUGGCUGUCGUCAGCUCGUGUUGUGAGAUGUUGGGUUAAGUCCCGUAACGAGCGCAACCCUUAUCCUUAGUUGCCAACAUGUAAAGGUGGGGACUCUAAGGAGACUGCCGGUGAUGAACCGGAGGAAGGCGGGGACGACGUCAAGUCAUCAUGGCCUUUAUGGGUAGGGCUACACACGUGCUACAAUGGCCGGUACAGAGAGUAGCGAAAGCGCGAGCUGAAGCCAAUCUCGCAAAAGCCGGUCGUAGUCCGGAUCGGAGUCUGCAACUCGACUCCGUGAAGUCGGAAUCGCUAGUAAUCGCGAAUCAGAAUGUCGCGGUGAAUACGUUCCCGGGCCUUGUACACACCGCUCGCGA
rnacentral:rRNA from 1 species